CGCGAAGAACCUUACAUGGGUUUGACAUGUACGGAUGCUCCUUCCGAAAGGAGAGUAGGCUGCUUCGGGUGAAACGUACACAGGUGCUGCAUGGCUGUCGUCAGCUCGUGCUGUGAAGUGUCGGGUUAAGUCCCUUAACGAGCGAAACCCUUGUCGCUAGUUACCAGCGGGUCAAGCCGGGGACUCUAGCGAGACUGCCGGCGUUAAGCCGGAGGAAGGUGGGGACGACGUCAAGUCAUCAUGGCCUUUAUAUCCAGGGUUUCACACGUGCUACAAUGGGGUGUACAAAGCGACGCAAAGCCGCGAGGUAGAGCAAAUCGCAGAAAACAUCCCCCAGUUCAGAUUGGGGUCUGCAACCCGACCCCAUGAAGUUGGAAUCGCUAGUAAUCGCGUAUCAGCCAUGACGCGGUGAAUGUGUUCCUGAGCCUUGUACACACCGCCCGUCAAGUCAUGGGAGCUGGGAGUUCCCGAAGUCGCCGCAUCACUGCGGUGCCGACGGAAAGCCUGGUGACUGGGACUAAGUCGUAACAAGGUAGCCGUAGGGGAACCUGCGGCUGGAACACCUCCUUCUAGACUGCAGAA
rnacentral:rRNA from 1 species